rfam:Atopobium deltae strain DNF00019 genomic scaffold Scaffold125, whole genome shotgun sequence.
GCAUACGAUUUGCUGUCUACAAAACGCAUGCCGUCUUACUACAACAUCACCCGCCCCGGCACGGGGUGAUAUAGACGAAAGGA